GGAGAAGUACUCAAGCUGGUGAAGAGGCGCCCCUGCUAAGGGUGUAGGUCGCGAGAGCGGCGCGAGUGUUCGAAUCACUUCUUCUCCGCCA
rnacentral:tRNA from 1 species